CAAUCCAAAGAAAAAGAGAAUCCCGAAUCAAAGCUCCAAUCUUCUCCACUUUCAUCACCAUGCCCUAUACAACCGUAGACACAUACAUAUUCUUUGUGUGAUUUAUACAUAUUAAAAGCUUCUCGCUUCUUUUUUAUAUUUACUUGUUCAUGGCGGUUCAAACUCAUGACCAUCCUUCCACUCUGUUCUUCCUCAAUAGUAAUGGACAAGAAGGGAAUGCUUUUUCGCCGGAGCUACAAAAAUCUCAGUUUCCUUCCAUCACCGCCGGAAACAAAGCGCCGAUCAACUUGGCGUAACGCCUCGACCUUUCAUUAAUAUGUUCUUUAAUUCGGGCUUUAACGUGAUCAACCCACUUCUUCCACUCUGAAGCAUUCAACUGAUCUCACCAGCUUCUAAAGUAACUGACGGAUGCUCCACCUAUAAAUGUGUAUGCUCCCAGCGAUAAACAGAGUAACUCCCGCAAAUCAGAAAGAACAAUCUCUGUUAAUCACCAUCUCCAACAAUGGCGAGUUCCUCCAUCUUGCUUGCUAAUUUACAAGCUAACCGCUGCUUAGACACUGUGAGAUUAGAAAAAAAAAUCUUCUUUAUCACCUUGAUUGAAUGUUUUAGAGUUAUCCGAUUAAGUUCUUGCCUGGAAUCUGCAAGUUUUCGGUGAUCAAUGCUUUAUGAUAGAUUUUUUUUGUUCAAACUUUAUGAUAGAUUUACCUUAUUAUUAUGGCUUUAUGUUUAUUUCAGUUUCAGUGAUUGAGAGUAAUGAAUGGCGGGAGACACAUUUAAAGCACUUACAAACCUUGUGUGCUCAUGUUUGUUAGGAAUCGGUGAUAGCUUUCUUUUCCUCUAGCUUCUAGAGAAAGUUUGUAUCAAACAAAUAAUUUUGAAGCCUGCUUUGGACAAUGAUUGAUUGUGGCAUACUCAGGAUGAUCUGCAAGUCGGACUCAAAGACCUACAAGACUUUCUGAAACCAACGUAACAAGUGAAUUCUUACCAGGAUAUUUGAUCGAUAUAGUCAAUAAACACCAGAAGCUAGGACAAGCCUUUUUUACCAUUACAUGCAAACAUGUGUCUACUGUUUAGUAUCUUGCUUUUCCUGUAUGAUCGGAGCUUCAACCUCACAUAACAUGUUCUGAAAGGACUGUGAUUGGUGAUUGGUGAAAACAGUAAUGCUGGAACCAUCAGGCCAACAAGACUUGGAGAGCAGUCAAAACUCAUUGAAUUUGGUACAAUGCAUUGUGUCUGUGAUCUUGAUGAUGCACAAGGACAUCAAAGUCAAGGAAGAUAUUAUCACCAUCCAAGUCAGAGAUUGAUUUGGUUCUGCACAACGUUAUCACACUGCAGUCCUCCGAUCUUGACUGUAGACAUAUGAUGAAAACCACAGAAGAGCAACUUAGGAUUGCAUCUAAUAGCUUAAUAAGCUGUGCAACAAUAUAAUGAUUUGUGCUCUCGGUGUAAAAACUAUAUGACUUUCUUUUUUUUUUACCUGGGAAAGCACCAAUUUAAAGUACACAAUUUUGAUAAAGAUAUGACUUUUCUUUGCUUA